rnacentral:tRNA from 1 species
GACCCGGUAGCUCAGCUGGUAGAGCAUCUGCCUUUUAAGCAGAGUGUCCUGGGUUCGAGCCCCAGCCGGGUCA